rnacentral:rRNA from 1 species
UACAGAGGUCCCGAGCGUUGUUCGGAUUCAUUGGGCGUAAAGCGCACGUAGGCGGUUUGUUAAGUCGGAUGUGAAAUCCCUCGGCUCAACUGAGGAAGUGCAUCCGAAACUGGCAGGCUUGAGUACUAAAGAGGGUCGCGGAAUUCCCGGUGUAGAGGUGAAAUGCGUAGAUAUCAGGAGGAACACCGGUGGCGAAGGCGGUUCUCUGGGCAUGUCCUGACGCUGAGGAGCGAAAGUGUGGGGAGCGAACAGG